rnacentral:rRNA from 1 species
GACGAACGCUGGCGGCGUGCUUAACACAUGCAAGUCGAACGGAAAGGCCCUGCUUUUGUGGGGUGCUCGAGUGGCGAACGGGUGAGUAACACGUGAGUAACCUGCCCUUGACUUUGGGAUAACUUCAGGAAACUGGGGCUAAUACCGGAUAGGAGCUCCUGCUGCAUGGUGGGGGUUGGAAAGUUUCGGCGGUUGGGGAUGGACUCGCGGCUUAUCAGCUUGUUGGUGGGGUAGUGGCUUACCAAGGCUUUGACGGGUAGCUGGCCUGAGAGGGCGACCGGCCACAUUGGGACUGAGAUACGGCCCAGACUCCUACGGGAGGCAGCAGUGGGGAAUAUUGCACAAUGGGCGGAAGCCUGAUGCAGCAACGCCGCGUGCGGGAUGACGGCCUUCGGGUUGUAAACCGCUUUCGCCUGUGACGAAGCGUGAGUGACGGUAAUGGGUAAAGAAGCACCAGCUAACUACGUG